CCUACGGGUGACAGCAGUGAGGAAUAUUGGUCAAUGGGCGGAAGCCUGAACCAGCCAAGUAGCGUGCAGGAUGACGGCCCUACGGGUUGUAAACUGCUUUUAUACGGGAAUAACGCGCCUUACGUGUAGGGCUUUGCAUGUACCGUAUGAAUAAGGACCGGCUAAUUCCGUGCCAGCAGCCGCGGUAAUACGGAAGGUCCGGGCGUUAUCCGGAUUUAUUUGGUUUAAAGGGAGCGUUGGCCGCAUGUCAAGCGUGCUGUGAAAUGUUCGGGCUCAACCCGGGCCUUGCAGCGGAAACUGGCGGGCUUGAGUCCGCGGAAAGCAGGCGGAAUGCGUCGUGUAGCGGUGAAAUGCUUAGAUAUGACGAAGAACCCCGAUUGCGAAGGCAGCUUGCUGCAGCGGAACUGACGCUGAUGCACGAAAGCGCGGGUAUCGAACAGGAUUAGAUACCCCUGUAGUC
rnacentral:rRNA from 1 species